rnacentral:rRNA from 1 species
AGUCGAGGGGUAUAGUAGCAAUACUGGAGACCGGCGCACGGGUGCGUAACGCGUAUGCAAUCUACCUUUUGCAGAGGGAUAGCCCAGAGAAAUUUGGAUUAAUACCUCAUAGUAUAACGACUCGGCAUCGAGAUGUUAUUAAAGUCACAACGGCAAAAGAUGAGCAUGCGUCCCAUUAGUUAGUUGGUAAGGUAACGGCUUACCAAGACUACGAUGGGUAGGGGUCCUGAGAGGGAGAUCCCCCACACUGGUACUGAGACACGGACCAGACUCCUACGGGAGGCAGCAGUGAGGAAUAUUGGACAAUGGGCGCAAGCCUGAUCCAGCCAUGCCGCGUGCAGGAUGACGGUCCUAUGGAUUGUAAACUGCUUUUGCACAGGAAGAAACAACGCUACGUGUAGCGUCUUGACGGUACUGUGAGAAUAAGGAUCGGCUAACUCCGUGCCAGCAGCCGCGGUAAUACGGAGGAUCCAAGCGUUAUCCGGAAUCAUUGGGUUUAAAGGGUCCGUAGGCGGUCUUAUAAGUCAGUGGUGAAAUCUCCCCGCUCAACGGGGAAACGGCCAUUGAUACUGUAGGACUUGAAUUAUUAGGAAGUAACUAGAAUAUGUAGUGUAGCGGUGAAAUGCUUAGAGAUUACAUGGAAUACCAAUUGCGAAGGCAGGUUACUACUAAUGGAUUGACGCUGAUGGACGAAAGCGUGGGUAGCGAACAGGAUUAGAUACCCUGGUAGUCCACGCCGUAAACGAUGGAUACUAGCUGUUGGGCGCAAGUUCAGUGGCUAAGCGAAAGUGAUAAGUAUCCCACCUGG